AUUGAACGCUGGCGGCAGGCCUAACACAUGCAAGUCGAGCGAGCGGCGGACGGGUGAGUAAUGUCUGGGAAACUGCCUGAUGGAGGGGGAUAACUACUGUAAACGGUAGCUAAUAUCGCAUACCAUCAGAUGUGCCCAGAUGGGAUUAGCUAGUAGGUGGGGUAACGGCUCACCUAGGCGACGAUCCCUAGCUGGUCUGAGAGGAUGACCAGACAAACUGGAACUGAGCAACGGUACAGACUCCUACGGGAAGCAGCAGUGGGGAAUAUUGCACAAGGGGCGAAAGCCUGAUGCAGCCAUGACGAGUGUGUGAAGAAGGCCUUCGGGUUGUAAAGCAAUUUCAGAGGGGAGGCGUUACCCGAAGAAGAAGCACCGGCUAACUCCGUGCCAGCAGCCGCGGUAAUAC
rnacentral:rRNA from 1 species